rnacentral:rRNA from 1 species
UACAGGGGGGGGCAAGCGUUGUUCGGAAUUACUGGGCGUAAAGGGCCAGUAGGCGGCCAACUAAGUCCGACGUGAAAUCCCCAGGCUUAACCUGGGAACUGCGUCGGAUACUGGAUGGCUUGAGUGUGGGAGAGGGAUGCGGAAUUCCAGGUGUAGCGGUGAAAUGCGUAGAUAUCUGGAGGAACACCGGUGGCGAAGGCGGCAUCCUGAACCAUUACUGACACUGAAAAGCGAAAGCCAGGGGAGCAAACGGG